rnacentral:piRNA from 1 species
UGCCACCAUAUACACUGAUUGACUGUUUAUGU